UGCGAGUCACGUAGCAAUACGUGGCAUACGGCUCAGUAACACGUAGUCAACAUGCCCAGGGGACGUGGAUAACCUCGGGAAACUGAGGAUAAACCGCGAUAGGUCAUAGUAUCUGGAAUGAUUUAUGGCUUAAAUCUAUAUGGCCUCUGGAUUGGACUGCGGCCGAUCAGGCUGUUGGUGAGGUAAUGGCCCACCAAACCUAAAACCGGUACGGGCUCUGAGAGGAGAAGCCCGGAGAUGGGCACUGAGACAAGGGCCCAGGCCCUAUGGGGCGCAGCAGGCGCGAAAACUCUGCAAUAAGCGAAAGCUUGACAGGGUUAUUCUGAGUGAUUUCCGCUAAGGAAAUCUUUUGGCACCUCUAAAAAUGGUGCAGAAUAAGGGGUGGGCAAGCCUGGUGUCAGCCGCCGCGGUAAUACCAGCACCCCGAGUGGUCGGGACGAUUAUUGGGCCUAAAGCAUCCGUAGCCGGUUCUACAAGUCUUCCGUUAAAUCCACCUGCUCAACAGAUGGGCUGCGGAGGAUACUAUAGAGCUAGGAGGCGGGAGAGGCAAGCGGUACUUAGUGGGUAGGGGUAAAAUCCGUUGAUCCAUUGAAGACCACCAGUGGCGAAGGCGGCUUGCCAGAACGCACUCGACGGUGAGGGAUGAAAGCUGGGGGAGCAAACCGGAUUAGAUACCCGGGUAGUCCCAGCUGUAAACGAUGCAGACUCGGUGAUGAAUAGGCUUCGUGCCUAUUCAGUGCCGCAGGGGAAGCCGUUAAGUCUGCCGCCUGGGGAGUACGGUCGCAAGACUGAAACUUAAAAGGAAUUGGCGGGGGAGCA
rnacentral:rRNA from 1 species